GUUUCUAUAGUUGAAGUACAACGAUGAUUUUUCAUGUCAUUGGUCAUAGUUAGAGUCUAUGUAGAAAUU
rnacentral:tRNA from 1 species